UUCUUUUCAACGGUGAUGGCCGCUACCUUAUCCAUCCAAGACCUACGAAAGUCGGAGAUCUUCCGAUAGCCGCUCUCUAGAGUGUGCAUAUCGUGCACCCACUGAAAGCAGAAGAUAGAUCAAGUUAGAUCAGAUUAAAAAAUAAAAAAAGAAGAGAUGUCAGAAAACUUACCUCGAGUAUCAUCAGAUAGAAAGAAGAAAAUAUUUCGACAACAGUCUGAUUCUUUCUGUUCUCCUGAUC
rnacentral:lncRNA from 1 species